rnacentral:rRNA from 1 species
GCAGCCUGCAUAGAAUUAUUGCUGCGGUUAAAAAGCUCGUAGUUGGAUUCGUAUCGAUACUCUGGAACCCUUCGGGUGUUUCUGGAUGUUAUCGAUUUAUCGUAAUGUUCAGUUUUGAGUCCUUAACAGGAUUCUUAACAGGCAUUGCAAGUUUACUUUGAACAAAUCAGAGUGCUUCAAACAGGCGUAUUCGCUUGAAUGAUCGUGCAUGGAAUAAUAGAAAACGAUUUCGGUUCAGUUUUAUUGGUUUUACGGACUGAGAUAAUGGUUAACAGAGACAAACGGGGGCAUUUGUAUGGCCCCGUGAGAGGUGAAAUUCUUGGACCGUGGCCAGACAAACUACAGCGAAAGCAUUUGCCAAGAAUGUCUUCAUUAAUCAAGAACGAAAGUCAGAGGUUCGAAGGCGAUCAGAUACCGCCCUAGUUCUGACCGUAAACGAUGCCAACUAGCGAUCCGCCGAUGGAGAUUAUAUUGCCUUGGUGGGGAGCUUCCCGGAAACGAAAGUCUUCCGGUUCCGGGGGAAGUAU